GACGAACGCUGGCGGCGUGCUUAACACAUGCAAGUCGAACGGUAAGGCCCUUCGGGGUACACGAGUGGCGAACGGGUGAGUAACACGUGGGUGAUCUGCCCUGCACUUCGGGAUAAGCCUGGGAAACUGGGUCUAAUACCGGAUAGGACUCCGGACUGCAUGGUCUGGGGUGGAAAGCUUUUGCGGUGUGGGAUGGGCCCGCGGCCUAUCAGCUUGUUGGUGGGGUGAUGGCCUACCAAGGCGACGACGGGUAGCCGGCCUGAGAGGGUGACCGGCCACACUGGGACUGAGAUACGGCCCAGACUCCUACGGGAGGCAGCAGUGGGGAAUAUUGCACAAUGGGCGCAAGCCUGAUGCAGCGACGCCGCGUGAGGGAUGACGGCCUUCGGGCUGUAAACCUCUUUCAGCACAGACGAAGCGCAAGUGACGGUAUGUGCAGAAGAAGGACCGGCCAACUACGUGCCAGCCGCCGCAGUAAGAC
rnacentral:rRNA from 1 species